rnacentral:rRNA from 1 species
GAUGAACGCUGGCGGCGUGCCUAACACAUGCAAGUCGAACGGUCAACUUCGGUUGAUAGUGGCGCACGGGUGAGUAACACGUGGUUGAUCUACCCUCAAGUAGGGGAUAACGUUCCGAAAGGAAUGCUAAUACCCUAUAAGUUCCCGGAGUUUAGAAGACUGGGAGAAAAGUUCCGGCGCUUGAGGAGGAGACUGCGAAC